rnacentral:rRNA from 1 species
UACGAAGGGGGCUAGCGUUGCUCGGAAUCACUGGGCGUAAAGCGCACGUAGGCGGCUUUCUAAGUCAGGGGGGAAAUCCUGGAGCUCAACUCCAGAACUGCCUUUGAUACUGGGAAGCUCGAGUCCGGAAGAGGUGAGUGGAACUCCGAGUGUAGAGGUGAAAUUCGUAGAUAUUCGGAAGAACACCAGUGGCGAAGGCGGCUCACUGGACCGGUAUUGACGCUGAGGUGCGAAAGCGUGGGGAGCAAACAGG